AACGUAGGACGCAAGCGUUAUCCGGAGUUACUGGGCGUAAAGCGUGCGCAGGCGGUUAUGCAAGACAGAUGUGAAAUCCCCGGGCUCAACCUGGGAACUGCAUUUGUGACUGCAUGGCUAGAGUACGGUAGAGGGGGAUGGAAUUCCGCGUGUAGCAGUGAAAUGCGUAGAUAUGCGGAGGAACACCGAUGGCGAAGGCAAUCCCCUGGACCUGUACUGACGCUCAUGCACGAAAGCGUGGGGAGCAAACAGG
rnacentral:rRNA from 1 species